CUGACGCUGAGGAGCGAAAGCGUGGGGAGCGAACAGGAUUAGAUACCCUGGUAGUCCACGCCGUAAACGUUGGGAACUAGAUGUAGGGACCAUUCCACGGUUUCUGUGUCGCAGCUAACGCAUUAAGUUCCCCGCCUGGGGAGUACGGCCGCAAGGCUAAAACUCAAAGGAAUUGACGGGGGCCCGCACAAGCGGCGGAGCAUGCGGAUUAAUUCGAUGCAACGCGAAGAACCUUACCAAGGCUUGACAUAUACCGGAAAAGUGCAGAAAUGUACUCCCCGCAAGGUCGGUAUACAGGUGGUGCAUGGUUGUCGUCAGCUCGUGUCGUGAGAUGUUGGGUUAAGUCCCGCAACGAGCGCAACCCUCGUCCUAUGUUGCCAGCACGUAAUGGUGGGAACUCAUGGGAGACUGCCGGGGUCAACUCGGAGGAAGGUGGGGAUGACGUCAAAUCAUCAUGCCCCUUAUGUCUUGGGCUUCACGCAUGCUACAAUGGCCGAUACAGAGGGCUGCAAUACCGCAAGGUGGAGCGAAUCCCAAAAAGUCGGUCUCAGUUCGGAUUGAGGUCUGCAACUCGACCUCAUGAAGUCGGAGUCGCUAGUAAUCGCAGAUCAGCAACGCUGCGGUGAAUACGUUCCCGGGCCUUGUACACACCGCCCGUCAAGUCAUGAAAUCGGUAACACCCGAAGCCAGUGGCCUAACCGUAAGGAA
rnacentral:rRNA from 1 species